GGUUCCACUUGAUGUCGAGCACAUUGCCCUGGUGGCCGCAGACUUUGGGGUAGUUUGGCUCGAUCCGGCCUGUCUGCUCGAGUGGGAUGACAAGGAAGGAGCCGCCGCCGGCGCUCUCGGUGACGAUGGCGAGGAAGCGGGCAUUGACGGCGCAGAAGUGAUUGUCGUGCACGUUCUUGGUGAUGGGGAUGCCAUCGAAGCAGUGCUCCCGGCUCGCCACCUUCCCGUAGACAUUGCGGAAUUUGGAGCUGCGGUACUGCGGGCGCCAUGACAUCUGAGCUGCUGGGCUCCGUGGGCUCGUGGGGCACCUCCUGCCACCCGGGGCUGGCGCGGGGCUCAGGGGGUC
rnacentral:lncRNA from 1 species